UACGGGGGGAGCAAGCGUUGUUCGGAUUUACUGGGCGUAAAGGGCGCGUAGGCGGCCACUGCAAGUCGGUUGUGAAAUCUCCGGGCUUAACCCGGAAAGGUCAAUCGAUACUGCAGGGCUAGAGUGCAGAAGGGGCAACUGGAAUUCUCGGUGUAGCGGUGAAAUGCGUAGAUAUCGGGAGGAAUACCAGCGGCGAAGGCGGCCUUCUGGACGGUGACUGACGCUGAGACGCGAAAGCGUGGGGAGCAAACAGG
rnacentral:rRNA from 1 species